UGUCGUCAGCUCGUGUUGUGAAAUGUUGGGUUAAGUCCCGCAACGAGCGCAACCCUUAUCCUUUGUUGCCAGCGGUCCGGCCGGGAACUCAAAGGAGACUGCCAGUGAUAAACUGGAGGAAGGUGGGGAUGACGUCAAGUCAUCAUGGCCCUUACGACCAGGGCUACACACGUGCUACAAUGGCGCAUACAAAGAGAAGCGACCUCGCGAGAGCAAGCGGACCUCAUAAAGUGCGUCGUAGUCCGGAUUGGAGUCUGCAACUCGACUCCAUGAAGUCGGAAUCGCUAGUAAUCGUGGAUCAG
rnacentral:rRNA from 1 species